UACAGAGGUCUCAAGCGUUUGUUCGGAUUCAUUGGGCGUAAAGGGUGUGUAGGUGGCGCGCUAAGUCCGGGGUGUGAAAUUUCGGAGCUUAACUCCGAAACUGCAUUCGAUACUGGCGUGCUUGAGGACUGGAGAGAGACUGGAAUUUACGGUGUAGCAGUGAAAUGCGUAGAUAUCGUAAGGAAGACCAGUGGCGAAGGCGGGUCUCUGGGACAGUUCCUGACACUGAGACACGAAGGACCAGGGGGAGCAAACGGGG
rnacentral:rRNA from 1 species